rnacentral:miRNA from 1 species
AUUGAUCAUCGACACUUCGAACGCACUUGCGGCCCCGGGUUCCUCCCGGGGCU